rnacentral:misc_RNA from 1 species
GCAAACUUGGUCAUUUAGAGGAAGUAAAAGUCGUAACAAGGUCUCCGUUGGUGAACCAGCGGAGGGAUCAUUACAGAGUUGAAAAACUCCCUAAACCACUGUGAAUCUUACCUUUUUGUUCGUUGCUUCGGCGGGCGGCUCCAGGGCGGAGCCACUGCUCGUUGGGUCGGGUGCCCGCCGGAGGACAGCUAAAAACUCGUUAAUACACCUGUAAUCUCAGAGUACACAAGAAAAAGCUAUCAAAACUUUCAGCAACGGAUCUCUUGGUUCUGGCAUCGAUGAAGAACGCAGC